AUGUAAAGUAUGAGAGCAGGAACUCUAAUUUUGUUCCCUUGUAUACUGACAUAAUUCCCCUUGGCACUGGGUCACGUUACAUGCUGACAUAGGGUUCAAUUUUUCAGAUAAUUUUACUCAGACUGUCACACUGCAUUAACCAUUUUACUGUAGAAAACAAGAACCUCAGACUGACUUACCCUGCGCAGAUUUUGAGGCAUGAAAUUCAAGCUGAAUAUAAGACCGCAAGAUGUGUGACAGUGUAUUGAAAGAUGAAAAGCAGGAUGCACAUUUCAAACCAAAUCUGUCAUUGUUUGUGUCAAGUUAUUUCUGUUAUAUGAAUCAAAAUGGUCUGUGUGAAUGUGUGUGUUUGUGUGUGUAUUAAUGCAUGUUUGAGGGCAUGCGAGUCAGAGUGGGCUGGGUUAUCAGAGCAGAGAGACAGAAGGCAGUUUGCAGUGGACAGGAGAGAAAUUCACAUUCUUCAUCUCAACUUUGCCUGUCGCAGUCGUCUGUACAUUGCUGUGUGUCACUGGUACACUCUUUCUUUCUUACUUUCUUUCUUUGCUUUUACUCUGAUUUUGCUUGAUUGCCAUUCUUCUUGAUCAAACACUUCAUUUUAGUUUCUGUUAGUAUCUUCUACCAGAAGAGUUAUUUCAUUAGGUUGCUUUUCUCAUAUUAACUGUCCAUCUUUCCCAUUUUUGACUGUAUCCAUUCAUUCAAUAUCUGGCUUCAUUUACAUAUUUUAUUUGCAUAACCUAAUGCAAUUUGGUGGUACCAGAUGGAGUCAAAGCAUCAUGGACCUCGACCUCUAAGAGCCACAAGUCCAGCCAUGCCUUUCGUAGGUUGUCCCCACACAAAUGGAUGUGGAGGCCCGGGUCGGAUGUUGCUACGUGAGAUGCUUUGGCAGCUGGAGCAAAGAGUACUUCAGGUUCAAGAGGAGGAGUUUCAGUACUGCAUUUCUCGUGGCAUUCUGGGAUACCGUCACCCCCCAGCAUACCCAAGCCUGCUUGCCCUUAUACCUGCUGCUGAACACCGCCAGCUAGAGCGCCUGUGUGGUCGCAUCCCACCCUCACACACUGCCAUUGUACUUUCCAGGCUUCAUGAUCUUAUGGCCCACAAUGACAUUCCUCCCUGGGAACUGGUGGGUGUCUUCAAACAAGUUCUUAGAGACUUCCUGAGGAGACAAGAAGACGGCAUACAGAAAAGUCCAGCCCCUUCAGCUCCAUCAACAAUUCUUUUUGCUCCGAGUCCACCUACAGAGAGUAAUGACAGAAACCACAUUGUUGAAAAUGCAUCUAAUUCUUUAUCAGAGGAGUCUGGAAAGCACAGGGAGGAAAUUCCUACGAUUUCUAGUUAUGUGGAUAAACAUUUGCGUGCCGCCUGCCCCUACUCUAUCCAUAGAGAUUGGAGUCUGCCCUUCUGUCAUCCAUUCGGUUAUGAGGCCUAUGGCACCACAUUGUGAGACACUUAAUUAUAGAAGUCCAACACCUUGUCAUGGCAGUUCAUAACAGUUUUAUGUUUUGUCAAAUUGGUGGCUAAUUCUUAAGAACUUGUACAAUCUGAUUGGUAUGUUGUUGUAUGAUUGGCUUGCAUCCCAUAGAUGUUUACUUUCAUAGUAAUACUUUAAUGUACUACUAAUAAUGCAUUUUCAUACAGAUUACCACCUAUAAAUUCAUAUGAAAUCGCCACCUUGUAAAAUAAUUGUUUCCUCAUGAGAUUGGCUUGAAAAGUCAACGCAACCAUUUUCUGUCUUUCCAGUCUGAAAAAUCUAAUCCUCUGCUCCAGUUAAUUAGAAUAAUUAAAAAGUUAUAUUUCUGGAUUACAGAGCAGAGUUUAGCCUGAAGGGAGAGGAUUGCACCAAUGCCUUUGUGCAUCAGUGGUUCUGCUUGCUGCAUGUACCCAUGAACUACCAACAAUAACACUCUCACCUCUCCCAUGCUUUUUAGAUAUCAGUUAAAAUCCUUACUUGUCUUUUAUCAUAUAGUGUCAGAACUGUGUUUGUCAUGUAGCAUGGACUGAAAGUGGCAAACAAAGUGUAGGUUUGGUAAUUAUCUCUUGACUGCUGAAUAACUGUUGGGCCAGACAAAGUGAAGUUUCUCUUCUGUGGAGUGUUUGUUACCACAAAAUCAAAUAUAGUAUAUAGCAUAAAUAUAGUCAUCACAUUUUCUGCCUAUAGUUUUGCUGUUACCUCUUCUACAGAAUAUAAUAAUUUAUGUAACAUGUUUAAUUUGCUUCUGUGAACCCUGCAAGUUUUAUUGUUCUCUUCAUGUCAAUUGUAAGUGAAAAUUAAAUUUGAACAAAACCUAA